AGGCUGGUCCCCUGCAUGAAACUAGCUACAGUGACUCACAGAUUCAACAGAAACACCAUCAAAAUUUCAAAGAACAAUGAAGAGUAAUUCACAUGUUAUCACAGAAGGCCUGAAUAACCAAAGCAUUCCCCAGCACUAUAGCAACAAAAUCAGCAUGGUGGAAUCUGUGCAGUUACAUGUUGGAGUUGAGGAUUUGAGCUCUGCUUCCUGCUGAGACCACCAUGAUUGGCCCUUGACAUCUGGAAUCAUAUGUCCAAAUAAAGUGUCUUUCUUAUGUUG